GGCAUCGGUCACUCCAACCCAAUGUGAACGUUACCAAACUGUUGCCUCGGCGGGAUCUCUGCCCCGGGUGCGUCGCAGCCCCGGACCAAGGCGCCCGCCGGAGGACCAACCAAAACUCUUUUUGUAUACCCCCUCGCGGGUUUUUUAUAAUCUGAGCCUUCUCGGCGCCUCUCGUAGGCGUUUCGAAAAUGAAUCAAAACUUUCAACAACGGAUCUCUUGGUUCUGGCAUCGAUGAAGAACGCAGCGAAAUGCGAUAAGUAAUGUGAAUUGCAGAAUUCAGUGAAUCAUCGAAUCUUUGAACGCACAUUGCGCCCGCCAGUAUUCUGGCGGGCAUGCCUGUCCGAGCGUCAUUUCAACCCUCGAACCCCUCCGGGGGGUCGGCGUUGGGGAUCGGCCCUGCCUCUUGGCGGUGGCCGUCUCCGAAAUACAGUGGCGGUCUCGCCGCAGCCUCUCCUGCGCAGUAGUUUGCACACUCGCAUCGGGAGCGCGGCGCGUCCACAGCCGUUAAACACCCAACUUCUGAAAUGUUGACCUCGGAUCAGGUAGGAAUACCCGCUGAACUUAAGCAUAUCAAUAAGCGGAGGAACAUUUCAAUAAGCGGAGGAGCAUAUCAAUAAGCGGAGGAGCAUAUCAAUAAGCGGG
rnacentral:rRNA from 1 species